rnacentral:rRNA from 1 species
GGGGGAAGGAUCAUUA